rnacentral:rRNA from 1 species
GAUGAACGCUGGCGGCGUGCUUAACACAUGCAAGUCGAGCGAGAAAAGUUCUUCGGAGCUUUUCUAGCGGCGGACGGGUGAGUAACACGUGGGCAACCUGCCUCAUAGAGGGGAAUAGCCUUCCGAAAGGAAGUUUAAUACCGCAUAACAUUGUUGAAAGGCAUCUUUUAACAAUCAAAGGAGCAAUCCGCUAUGAGAUGGGCCCGCGGCGCAUUAGCUAGUUGGUGAGGUAACGGCUCACCAAGGCGACGAUGCGUAGCCGACCUGAGAGGGUGAUCGGCCACAUUGGAACUGAGACACGGUCCAGACUCCUACGGGAGGCAGCAGUGGGGAAUAUUGCACAAUGGGGGAAACCCUGAUGCAGCAACGCCGCGUGAGUGAUGAAGGUCUUCGGAUUGUAAAGCUCUGUCUUUAGGGACGAUAAUGACGGUACCUAAGGAGGAAGCCACGGCUAACUACGUGCCAGCAGCCGCCGUAAGAC